GACGAACGCUGGCGGCGUGCUUAACACAUGCAAGUCGAACGGAAAGGCCCUGCUUUUGUGGGGUGCUCGAGUGGCGAACGGGUGAGUAACACGUGAGUAACCUGCCCUUGACUUUGGGAUAACUUCAGGAAACUGGGGCUCAUACCGGAUAGGAGCUCCUGCUGCAUGGUGGGGGUUGGAAAGUUUCGGCGGUUGGGGAUGGACUCGCGGCUUAUCAGCUUGUUGGUGGGGUAGUGGCUUACCAAGGCUUUGACGGGUAGCCGGCCUGAGAGGGUGACCGGCCACAUUGGGACUGAGAUACGGCCCAGACUCCUACGGGAGGCAGCAGUGGAGAGUAUUACACAAUGGGCGGAAGCCUGAUGCAGCAACGCCGCGUGCGGGAUGACGGCCUUCGGGUUGUAAACCGCUUUCGCCUGUGACGAAGCGUGAGUGACGGUAAUGGGUAAAGAAGCACCGGCUAACUACGUG
rnacentral:rRNA from 1 species